AUGAUAGAUAAUACAAGACAUCUACAACAGUGACAGGUUCUGACAGUGACAGGAUGAUGCCCAGUGCAGGAUCAAGGCUGUUACUGACAGUAUCAUUCUGCAAUUAAUAAUCUUUUGUGCUCCCCUUGGCAUGCACAGAACAACCACAGCAAUCUGUUUACAAGUUUUAACUCCAUGGUGUCUGAGCCACCAUAAGCUCCCCGCAAACUACAUCAGAAUGUUGAAUGGAGAAGAAAGGAAAUACUGAGGGGAAAACUAAAUUUGUUCUGGCAUCAGGUGCACAGCAAUUUGGGUGAGAGACUGUUUUUAACUUCCCAACAGUGUGAGAUUACAGCGAGACCCUCCUUUCCAUUGAGGUCACUUUACACUGGCAGAGCAGCAGCUGACAUUCAAAUGAAGAUCUCCAGGGAUUUCAGCUCUGUCACCCAUUUGAUCCAGCCCAGGAUGAACUCAUCCAUGUGAUUCCUGAAUGUGCUAUGAAGAUGGAGACAGUCCAAACCAUGGCAUAUUUACACAGACUGAUUGUGUGGCUUAGCUGUUUCCUAAUAUACCUGUUAAACUGCAGAGACUGUGUGUCUGCUUCGACAAACUCUUCUUAGAGGUGCUUUGAUUUCUGUUUGAAAUAAGGAGGUUUUUUUCCUCCUUCUUCUCAUUAUCUGCCAUCAUUUUUUGGUAAGUAUCAUCUCUUCUCCCCCAACGCAGCCCUUUACUUUAAGCAUGGAACUAAUAAUUUUCUUAAAACACAUUUAUAUUCUUUCCAGAAUUGAGGCUUUAGUGUCACCUUGCUAAGGCAAAAGGCCCACCAUUAAGUGCAGGGACUGGCAGUGAGUUUAAGUAGGUGGAAAAGCAAUUGAUACAACUCCUGUCUGCUCUCAGCAACGGCAGAGCUUCACUGAAAUACGUGCACUGAGUUCUGUCAUGGGAGGGGUUUUGGGGUAAGCAUUCCAUAGCUUCUGACUGCUUAUUUGGGUUUAAUUGAAUUAGACACAUAUUUGAACACAGCACUCAAAGGAGCUGACAGUCUUUCCACAAUUUCCUGGCCUGCCUGGUUGGUUUCCUUUUUGAUCAGGCACAUCCCAGUGAA